GGCACAAUAGUGUCGGGCCUGACGACCCCGCUCCCCCGAGUCGCCCAACGGAGUU
rfam:Aedes flavivirus genomic RNA, complete genome, strain: Narita-21